AGUGAGCGCUGGCGGCAGGCCUAACACAUGCAAGUCGAACGGCAGCACAGUAAUUGCUUGCUCUUACGGGUGGCGAGUGGCGGACGGGUGAGGAAUACAUCGUAAUCUACUUUUUCGUGUGGUUUAACGUAGGUAAAGUUACUCUAUUACCGCAUACGACCUACGGGUGAAUGCAGUGGAUCGUCGGACCUUGCGCGAUUGAAGUCGCCGAUGUCGGAUUAGCUUGUUGGCGGGUUAAUGGCCCACCAAGGCGACGAUCCGUAGCUGGUCUGAGAGGAUGAUCGGCGACACUGGAAGUGAGACACGGUCAAGACUCCUACGGGAGGGAGCAGUGGGGAAUGUGGGACAAUGGGCGCAAGCCUGAUCCAGCGAUAGCGAGUGGGUGAAGAAGACGUUGGGGUUGUAAAGCCCUUUUGUUGGGAAAGAAAAGCAGCAGGUUAAGACCCAGCUGUUGUGACGGUACCGAAAGAAUAAGCACCGGCUAACUACGUG
rnacentral:rRNA from 1 species